CGUGAGCCAUCAUGCCCGGCCUUGGGUGCUAUUUUGAACCCCUUUGAUGCCCUGUGAGCAGCUCUCACUUGCCACUCACCCAAUGCCUGGGGGGCAGGGAGGUCGACGCUUCAUGGAGAUUUCCAUAGGAUGGAUGCCUGGUCCAGCAGGGUCCCAAUGGGCAGGGGCAGAGGCAGGCAGAGGAAAGGGUCACAAAUCUCAUAGCCCUAGAAGGGAGUGAGAAGAGGAACUGGCGGGCACAGCCACUCACAUCAUAGCAGAGGACCUGCACCGUCAAAGCCAAACUAGCAGCAUGUCCAAGACCCAAAUCCUUCAUCUGCUUACCCUCCUUCCCACCUCCCCCAAAACUGUUUCUAGCAUGUCCCCCUCCCCAUAGAAGGCAUCAUCACCCCCUCCACUCUUCACCCCCCCCCCAAAGCCAGCCAGUCCACAGCUAUCCCUUUCGGUCCCACCUGCAGCCAGCCCCUAAACCUACCACUGCCCUCAGUCGUGGGGUCUCUUCCUUCCUGGUGGUGACAGGGCCUUCUGAGUUUGCUAAGCACAGAUCUACACUGCAUCAAAGAGAUCAGAGAGGUGACUGGGAAAGGCAGAUUUGGUCAUGGUCCUCCCCAGCUAAAAACCUGUUGCCCUCAGGAGGAAGUCUGAGCCCGCCUUAGCUCCAUGGCCUCAGCUUCUGCAGUCUCCGUAUCAUCCACAGCUCACAGCCUCCUGCCGAUCAGUCAGCACGUCUUUCCAGACCUUCUGCUUGAAAUGCGAGUCUUCUAACAACUUGCCUGCUGAACUCCUACUCCUCCUUUCAGGGCUCAGCUUAAGCAUCGCCUGUGGCCAGGGCUCAGGGCCUGCCCUGCACCUUUCAUAUCGCCUCUCUGGGAGUGGCUUGUUUAAACAUCCCGGGAGCCUGGAGAGGUGGUAUCACAGGCAUUUGAACCAGAGCGACUCCAUCUUGAGUGAGGGCUAGGAAAAUGAAGUUGGGACUUGCAUUCCCAGAAGGCUAUUCCCAGCCUCUAGAUGUUUACAGUUAAGGAAAUGGAUUAAUAAUGUUUACUAACAAACCCAAACUUCGGAGUGUCCAGAUAUCCCGAUAUCUCGAGAACAAAGGCAUUCCUAAUUUUGCUUCAAAGAUAAUAAUAUUGAUUCUUGCAAAAUUUGGUAAUUUUAAAAAAGAAUCCUUUAUCACAAACCCUGUAGCAGAGCACAUCUCCCCAUGAUCUUUUUUUAUCCUAUAUAUAUACAAGCACUGUACCUAGGGUGGAUGCAUUCCUCCUCUUACUUUUGGGAAUGCCCUAUUCUGUCUAUGGAGUAGCUGUUCUUUCACCACUUGACUUUCUAAAUAAACUUGCUUUUCCUUUG
rnacentral:lncRNA from 10 species